UUUAGGAAAUAGUUAAUUUAGGGUUUUGAAAAUAGUUAAUACCAGGGAUUCAGAGGUCAGGGAGCGCGUAAAUCCCCAAAAUAUUGUUUUCUCUUUCUAAUAAUUUCGCUAAUUUGAUUUGUAUAGCAAAAAAUUGAAUAUAAUUGCUUAGAAUUCAGUGGAGGAAAACGGUGAGUUUGAUUUGGUAUUCGAUGACGAUAAUGGAGACGACGACGAUGAUGAUGUUUGUGUGUGAGAAAGAGGUGUGCUUGUUAUGUGCUGGGUGCGAAGAGGAGUGUGUGGAGAAAUUUAAGAGAGGGUGUCGUGGUGAGUUCGCGAGAGCCGAGCAGAGAACAAUAUUUUUUUUGUCUUUUGAGUGUGAGGCUUUCACUCUGGGUUUGCGUCUUUCGGUGAAUUCUGUAGCUCGAAAUAUCCUAAUUCCCCAUGGAGCGAAAGCUUGUGGUUCUGAGUAUUCCAUGGGAUGUUGAUACCGAUAGCUUGGGGACUUGGAGGAUUGCAUUGAAAUGAAGUGGGGUUAUGGAAUGCGUAGUGGAAGGAGUUCGAGGGGAGAUUGAAGGUACAGGCCAUACCGAGAUGACAAAGGCUAGUUUUUCAAAACUUUCACUGCUUCUGAAGUCCAACUGGGAUACACAAGAUGCAAUGAAGCUUUUGAAAUAGAUUUAUGUUUCUUAAAUUAUGAAGACAAUUAAGUUUGUCGCUGCAGUUGUGACUGGAUUUCUUCCAGUCACGGAUAGUUAACUUUCAAGCAUCGAAUUCUCAAUUUACUGGAUGCACCAACUUUUAUGCGAGAGUAGUAGAUGUGUUGUAUUCUUAUGGCAAUCCAUGCUUCUGAGAGUUGUAUAAUUUGAGAAUGCUGGAUGAGGUAUUCUGUAUUCCUCAUCUAAUCUCAAUUAUUCACAACAGGUUUCAUACGAA